UCUCCGUUGGUGAACCAGCGGAGGAAGCAUUACCGAGUUUACAACUCCCAAACCCCAUGUGAACCUUACCACACGUUGCUUCGGCGGGAUGCCCCGGGCGCGGGCCGCAAGGCCUCAGCACCGGAACCAGGCGCCCGCCGGGGGCCGAAACAAAACUCUGAUUUUUGUAGAAUCUUCUGAGUGGCCUUAUAGGCAAAAAAUGAAUCAAAACUUUCAACAACGGAUCUCUUGGUUCUG
rnacentral:misc_RNA from 1 species